CCGAGUUUACAACUCCCAAACCCCUGUGAACAUACCACUUGUUGCCUCGGCGGAUCAGCCCGCUCCCGGUAAAACGGGACGGCCCGCCAGAGGACCCCUAAACUCUGUUUCUAUAUGUAACCUCUGAGUAAAACCAUAAAUAAAUCA
rnacentral:misc_RNA from 1 species